AACGAACGCUGGCGGCAUGCCUAACACAUGCAAGUCGAACGAGGCCCUUCGGGGUUUAGUGGCGCACGGGUGCGUAACGCGUGGGAAUCUGCCCUUUGGUUCGGAAUAACGGCUGGAAACGGCUGCUAAUACCGGAUGAUGACGAGAGUCCAAAGAUUUAUCGCCAGAGGAUGAGCCCGCGUUGGAUUAGGUAGUUGGUGGGGUAAAGGCCUACCAAGCCGACGAUCCAUAGCUGGUCUGAGAGGAUGAUCAGCCACACUGGGACUGAGACACGGCCCAGACUCCUACGGGAGGCAGCAGUGGGGAAUAUUGGACAAUGGGCGCAAGCCUGAUCCAGCAAUGCCGCGUGAGUGAUGAAGGCCCUAGGGUUGUAAAGCUCUUUUACCCGGGAAGAUAAUGACUGUACCGGGAGAAUAAGCCCCGGCUAACUCCGUG
rnacentral:rRNA from 1 species